rnacentral:tRNA from 1 species
GGCCCUUUAUGCCCAUGAUUUAUAAAGCAACUUAUUGAUUCUCGGUUGUUCUGGUAGGAACUCAUAAUCGCUUGGUCGCUGGUUCAAGUCCAGCAGGGGCCACCA